rnacentral:rRNA from 1 species
UACCAGCACCCCGAGUGGUCGGGACGAUUAUUGGGCCGUAAAGCAUCCGUAGCCGGUUCUGCAAGUCCCCCGUUAAAUCCAGCUGCUCAACAGAUGGGCCGCGGAGGAUACUACAGAGCUAGGAGGCAGGAGAGGCAAGCGGUACUCAGUGGGUAGGGGUAAAAUCCGUUGAUCCAUUGAAGACCACCAGUGGCGAAGGCGGCUUGCCAGAAUGCGCUCGACGGUGAGGGAUGAAAGCUGGGGGAGCAAACCGG